AAUAGCCAAAAUCGCCAUAAGAAAUAGUACCGACUAAUAAAAUAUCAGUUUUUCAGGCCGUCGCACAGAGGCCAUUUUAUUUUAUUUAGGAAGAAAUAAUUCAUUAAAAAAAGCAACAACAAAAACAUUAUUUUUGGCCUUAUCUUAAAAAUAACAUUCCAUCUAAUAAAAUGCUUGUCCUUUUUUAUUUUAUCGUAUCAUGUUACUACGUUUUUGGCCACCAAAGUGACACCAAUAUUCAAAUUGUGUUCUUACUUGAAAUAGUCACUAUUUAUUUGCUAAGUUCGAUUGAUUAUUGCGGUGUUUGUCAUCCGUUUUGUGUAAUUCAGAUUUUACUCUAUUAAAGAGUUGGUAACGAUGUCAAUUCGGAAAAGCGAUAUGUUUGAUGUUUGGUGUGGAGAAAACUAAUUACAAGAAAAGAAUGCUGCUGUUUUGAUCUAUGUUUUAAACAAGCUUCAUUAAGAAGAUAAUAAAGAUGACAGCAAACGUGAUUCAGUACAAGAAA